rnacentral:rRNA from 1 species
CCUACGGGAGGCUGCAGUGGGGAAUAUUGGGCAAUGGGCGCAAGCCUGACCCAGCAACGCAGCGUGAAGGAAGAAUGCUCUCGGGUUGUAAACUUCUUUUUAUAGGGACGUAGAAAGUGACGGUACCUGAGGAUUAUGUCACGGCUAACUACGUGCCAGCAGUCGCGGUAAGACGUAGGUGGCAAGCGUUAUCCGGAUUUACUGGGUGUAAAGGGCGUGUAGGUGGAAAGGCAAGUCAGGUGUGAAAUUAAUGGGCUCAACCGGAGUACUGCAUUUGAAACUGGUUUUCUUGAGUACUGGAGAGGUAGACGGAAUUCGUGGUGUAGCGGUGAAAUGCGUAGAUAUUAGGAAGAACUCCAGUGGCGAAGGCGG